AUGUAUCUGCAAAGCAAUAUUAAGGACAGUGCAAGGCACAUGAAGGCAGGCUUUGUUUUUUCUCAUGGACUGAACAUCAUUGGAGACCAGAAGAAAACCAGGAUGUCCCCGGACCUAAGACACAGGCUGUAUUCAUGGAAGUAUACACAUAGGCAAACCAAAAAGGAAAGAAAAAUAAAUAAAUAACCAACUCAGCAACACAGAUUUUUGGACUUCCUGCAGAUAAUUGAAAAAAAAAUAAAUAAAUAAAUUGGGAUGCCA
rnacentral:lncRNA from 1 species